UGGGGAAUAUUGCACAAUGGGCGGAAGCCUGAUGCAGCGACGCCGCGUGGGGGAUGAAGGCCUUCGGGUUGUAAACUCCUUUCGACAGGGACGAAGCUUUUGUGACGGUACCUGUAUAAGAAGCACCGGCUAACUACGUGCCAGCAGCCGCGGUAAUACGUAGGGUGCGAGCGUUGUCCGGAAUUACUGGGCGUAAAGAGCUCGUAGGUGGUUUGUCGCGUCGUCUGUGAAAUUCCGGGGCUUAACUCCGGGCGUGCAGGCGAUACGGGCUGACUUGAGUGCUGUAGGGGGGACUGGAAUUCCUGGUGUAGCGGUGAAAUUCGCAGAUAUCAGGAGGAACACCGAUGGCGAAGGCAGGUCUCUGGGCAGUAACUGACGCUGAGGAGCGAAAGCAUGGGUAGCGAACAGG
rnacentral:rRNA from 1 species